CAAGGACGGUUUGGAAGCACAGAGCUCUCAAUCAGCCACCCUCUUGCGAGGUGCCGGCGAAGACACUUAUCACGCCGUACUAUGGUCCAAUCAGGAGUUGCACUAAUGCAUUCGAGGUGAGCCACUGUUAAGCAGCAACACCCAAGUCCACCGCUCCAAAUCCAAAGGAUCAGAAGUGUGAGAGUACAAUGACACUCAAA
rnacentral:misc_RNA from 1 species